GAUGAACGCUGGCGGCGUGCCUAAUACAUGCAAGUCGAGCGAACGGACGAGAAGCUUGCUUCUCUGCUGUUAGCGGCGGACGGGUGAGUAACACGUGGAUAACCUACCUAUAAGACUGGGAUAACUUCGGGAAACCGGAGCUAAUACCGGAUCAUAUUUUGAACCGCAUGGUUCAAAAGUGAAAGACGGUUUUGCUGUCACUUUUAGAUGGUUCCGCGCUGCAUUAGCUAGUUGGUAAGGUAACGGCUUACCAAGGCAACGAUGCAUAGCCGACCUGAGAGGGUGAUCGGCCACACUGGAACUGAGACACGGUCCAGACUCCUACGGGAGGCAGCAGUAGGGAAUCUUCCGCAAUGGGCGAAAGCCUGACGGAGCAACGCCGCGUGAGUGAUGAAGGUCUUCGGAUCGUAAAACUCUGUUAUUAGGGAAGAACAUAUGUGUAAGUAACUGUGCACAUCUUGACGGUACCUAAUCAGAAAGCCACGGCUAACUACGUG
rnacentral:rRNA from 1 species